AACAAACGAAAAGAUUGAUUCCACAUACAAUUGAGAAGAAAGAAUUUAUGAGAGUGAGGGAAGAUAGGAGAAAUAAAUAUCGAGGAGGAGAUGGAGAAGCUGAUCAACAGUGGAGAGAUUGAGAUAGACGUAGGCUAAUGUUGAUUAGUUGAGAAAAAAAAAAAAAAAAAAGCACCCAUUUGGUAUCCAUUCAAAAAAAUAAACUUAAAAAUCGUGAUUUUUUUAAUAAAAAAUGUGAGUUUUCAAAUACUUAUUUUUAAGAUCUAAAAAAAUCAAAAACCCUAAAUUCUUAAAUUGAAAUUAACGAGAGAGAGAGGAAAAAAAAAACUAUAAAACCUCACAUUUUUGUUUUUUAAAAUUGGCCUUUUUUGAGUUGUUUUGGGGUUGCAUUUUUUAAAAAUGGGCUUUGAACUCAAAAAUU
rnacentral:lncRNA from 1 species